UUCGCCUUCAUGAAGCCGGAAUUGCUAGUAAUGGCAGGUCAGCAUACUGCCGUGAAUACGUUCCCGGGCCUUGUACACACCGCCCGUCACACCAUGAGAGUUGGGGAUACCCGAAGCCUGUGAGCCAACUUUUUUAAGAGGCAGCAGUCGAAGGUAGAAUCAAUGAUUGGGGUGAAGUCGUAACAAGGUAAC
rnacentral:rRNA from 1 species